UCCAGACUCCUACGGGAGGCAGCAGUGGGGGAUAUUGCACAAUGGGGGGAACCCUGAUGCAGCGACGCCGCGUGGGCGAAGAAGCGCCUCGGCGCGUAAAGCCCUGUCAGCAGGGAAGAAAAUGACGGUACCUGAAGAAGAAGCCCCGGCUAACUACGUGCCAGCAGCCGCGGUAAUACGUAGGGGGCAAGCGUUAUCCGGAUUUACUGGGUGUAAAGGGAGCGUAGACGGCAAUACAAGUCGGAAGUGAAAUACCCGGGCUCAACCUGGGAACUGCUUUGGAAACUGUAUGGCUGGAGUGCAGGAGAGGUAAGUGGAAUUCCUAGUGUAGCGGUGAAAUGCGUAGAUAUUAGGAGGAACACCAGUGGCGAAGGCGGCUUACUGGACUGUAACUGACGUUGAGGCUCGAAAGCGUGGGGAGCAAACAGGAUUAGAUACCCCCGUACA
rnacentral:rRNA from 1 species